rnacentral:rRNA from 1 species
UAUCUCUGUAGAGUCUGCAUAUCAAUAAGCGGAGGAAAAGAAACUAACAAGGAUUCCCUUAGUAACGGCGAGUGAAGCGGGAAGAGCUCAAAUUUGAAAUCUUCAAGGUUCUACCUUGACGAAUUGUAGUUUAAAGAAGUGUUUUCUGUUAGAUGAGUAGCAAAAGUUCCUUGGAAUGGGACAUCAUAGAGGGUGAGAAUCCCGUAUUUGGUUAUUCAUUCUAGCUUUGUGAUACACUUUCAAAGAGUCGGAUUGUUUGGGAAUGCAGUCCAAAAUGGGUGGUAAAUUUCAUCUAAAGCUAAAUAUUGGCGAGAGACCGAUAGCGAACAAGUACCGUGAGGGAAAGAUGAAAAGAACUUUGAAAAGAGAGUUAAACAGUACGUGAAAUUGUCAAAAGGGAAGCGUUUGACACCAGUGUUGUUUUUCCGAAAAUCAAUUACGAAUGGCUUGAUUUUGUGUUGUAUUGACCUUAUCAGCUUUCUGCACUUUUUUCGAGUCUUUUUUAAUGCACUUUUUCGGUUAACAAGUCAACAUCAAUUUCUUUUGUUGUAAAAGAGUAUUCGGAAGGUGGCUUUCUUUUCGGAGAAAGUGUUUAUAGCCCUAUACUUCUACAAUCGGAGAGAUUGAGGUCUGCAGCGUAGAUCCUUCGGGGUUAGAUACACUUGUGCUAAGUCGUAGCUUUUCAUAGACAACUUGUUGACUAUGUUUAGUCAUGCGGCUUACUCGCUUGUGCUAUUUUACCUACGCUUAGGAUGUUGACUGAUAUGUAGUCGUA